GACAUACUAAGAACUUUCCAGAGAUGGAUUGGUGCCUUUCGGGAACUUAGAUACAGGUGCUGCAUGGCUGUCGUCAGCUCGUGUCGUGAGAUGUUGGGUUAAGUCCCGCAACGAGCGCAACCCUUUUCCUUAUUUGCCAGCGGGUAAUGCCGGGAACUUUAAGGAUACUGCCAGUGACAAACUGGAGGAAGGCGGGGACGACGUCAAGUCAUCAUGGCCCUUACGGCCAGGGCUACACACGUGCUACAAUGGUCGGUACAAAGGGUUGCUACCUCGCGAGAGGAUGCUAAUCUCAAAAAGCCGAUCGUAGUCCGGAUCGCAGUCUGCAACUCGACUGCGUGAAGUCGGAAUCGCUAGUAAUCGCGGAUCAGAAUGCCGCGGUGAAUACGUUCCCGGGCCUUGUACACACCGCCCGUCACACCAUGGGAGUUUGUUGCACCAGAAGUAGGUAGUCUAACCGCAAGGAGGACGCUUACCACGGUGUGGCCGAUGACUGGGGUGAAGUCGUAACAAGGUAAGCGUAGAUGA
rnacentral:rRNA from 1 species